rnacentral:rRNA from 1 species
AUGACGCCUCAGCCACCCAAACCGUCAUGUCACGCCGUGAUGACCGAUGGCUGGACGCCUUCUGCCCAAGAUGUUGACGCCGGGAUGCUCCCCGGCUAUGGCAUGACCACCAACAUCUUCAACGACUCGGCGGAGUGCGGAAAGGGCUACCCGACCCCGCCGGCCAAGGACCGGGCCCGCUACUACAAGAUGUAUUGCAACAUGCUCAAAGCUGGGUACGGUGAGAACUAUGGGUGCGGGCACCAGAACUUAACACAACCGUUGUUGCCUAACGGAGAAUCUUCGCCUCCUCCUCCCAGAACCGGGCUUCUGAUCGGCAUCUCUGAAGGUUCUAUGUUGUUUUUGGUCAUUUCCGUCACUUUGAUCUGUCUCCUCCUACGGCGGAACCGGGCGAAAAACCAUCACCGAGCAACGGAGCAAGGGUUGGCAGAGGUUGGCUUCUUUGAUGACAAUCAGAGCAUGGAAGAUGACUUCGAGAAAGGGACCGCGCCCAAGCGGUUUUGCUACAGUGACUUGGCCAUGGCCACAUACAACUUUUCCGACGAUAAGAAGUUCGGACAAGGAGGCUUCGGCUCGGUGUACAAAGGAUUCCUCAAGGAACUGAACCUUCACGUGGACAUCAAAAGAGUCUCCAAGGGCUCCAAGCAGGGGAGGAAGGAGAGGUAA